rnacentral:rRNA from 1 species
UUUACUUUGGGGUGGUUUAGUGGCGGACGGGUGAGUAACACGUGAGCAACCUACCUUUCAGAGGGGGAUAACAGUUGGAAACGACUGCUAAUACCGCAUAACGUUGUAAAAGGGCAUCCAUUUACAACCAAAAGAGAAAUCUGCUGAAAGAUGGGCUCGCGGCCGAUUAGAUAGUAGGCGGGGUAACGGCCCACCUAGUCAACGAUCGGUAGCCGGACUGAGAGGUUGAACGGCCACAUUGGGACUGAGACACGGCCCAGACUCCUACGGAAGGCAGCAG